rnacentral:lncRNA from 12 species
UCAUGGGAGCCCAACUAGACUGAAUCUGCCAUUUACUGUGUGAGCUGGGUGAGUCACCUAACUUCCCUGGGCCUCCACUUCCCCAUCUGUAAAAUGGGGAUGAUAGAACCUACUACAGAGGUUGGGAGGAUUAUAGGAGUUUACAUAUGUAAAACACUUGAAAUGAUGCCUGGUAUAUAGUACUCGAUCAGUAAAUAUUAGCCAUUAAUUAGCCUCCCUCCUAAGAGCGAGGGAUCAGGGAAAGGAGUGGGGGAAGAGGGGUUUAGAGAAAAGAGAAAAAGAUGCAGAGAGAAACAUUGAAAGAGGAAGGGAACAAAAGAGGCAAAGAGGAAAUGUGGGGCCCAUUUGGGUGCCAGCUUUGUCCACUCGGGGGCUUGCUUAGGGCUCCUUUUCUUAUUCUUCCCUCCCCCAUAUAAUCUCCCUGGAAUUCUGAGGAAUUCUGCUUCCAACCCCCAGUAGUUGCCAUGGUGAUGGAAACCUGGACCCAGUGGAAAGUUCUCUGCUUGGCAACGAGGCUGCAGCACCCUGCCUUCCGCCUGCCUGCCUGUGCGUAGGCGGCCAGCUACAACUGCUUCUAGAUUUGGGGCCAGCAUGGCCUCUCUGUGGAGACCUAGCCCUUCCCCCCUCGGAAUCUAGGAUGGAGGCCUUGGUGUGACUGACACCAAAGGCCCUCAGAGAAUAUCUAGCUCAUCCCUUUUUUACAGCUGGGACAUUGGGCCAGAGGGGUGGCUUGGAUGAUUUGUCCAAGGUCGCACAGGCCUCCUGACUUGCCCAGGUCCUCUCUCCAGGGCUUAGCCAUGAUUCGGGCAGUCAUGGUGCACCUGAGGACAACACAGAUGGGAGUAGCUAUGUGAUAGCUCAGCCCCAGAGAACAGGCAGGCUGCUGAGAGCCAGGGGGACACAGGAAAAGAAUGGGAGUAAGAAGGUCAUAAAGCCAGCCUUUAGCAACUUCCCUCUAGGCUUCCCUGUCAGGGUCUCAUGGUCUAUCUUGGCUCCUCCCUCUGUCCUUGGCCUUCCCCCUUGACUGAGCCUCAGUCCCCAGCAGGAGGCCAGCUGCUCCUUUCAGGGUUGGUAGGUCGUGGCUUAAUGAGGAAUCUCCUACAUUUCACCUCCCCAGGUGGUCCCCACACACUGGAAUAUGUGAAGUACAGGACAUUAUGUGAACACAGAAGAGGAGAUCACCCUCAGUUUUGCAGAGCCCAGGAAGACAUCCCUGAGAAGUGACAACUCGGCCAAGUCCUCAAAGAUAAGAAGAUUUAAUAAAAGCAAAAGAAGCAGAAUUAGAGUUUCA